rnacentral:tRNA from 1 species
GCCCGGGUGGUGGAAAUGGCAGACACGCUAGACUAAGGAUCUAGUCCCAGCGAUGGGGUGCGAGUUCGAUUCUCGCCUCGGGCACCA